AUUGAACGCUGGCGGCAGGCCUAACACAUGCGAGUCGAACAGUAACAGGAAGCAGCUUGCUGCUUUGCUGACGAGUGGCGGACGGGUGAGUAAUGUCUGGGAAACUGCCUGAUGGAGGGGGAUAACUACUGGAAACGGUAGCUAAUACCGCAUAACGUCGCAAGACCAAAGAGGGGGACCUUCGGGCCUCUUGCCAUCGGAUGUGCCCAGAUGGGAUUAGCUAGUAGGUGGGGUAACGGCUCACCUAGGCGACGAUCCCUAGCUGGUCUGAGAGGAUGACCAGCCACACUGGAACUGAGACACGGUCCAGACUCCUACGGGAGGCAGCCGUGGGGAAUAUUGCACAAUGGGCGCAAGCCUGAUGCAGCCAUGCCGCGUGUAUGAAGAAGGCCUUCGGGUUGUAAAGUACUUUCAGCGGGGAGGAAGGGAGUAAAGUUAAUACCUUUGCUCAUUGACGUUACCCGCAGAAGAAGCACCGGCUAACUCCGUG
rnacentral:rRNA from 1 species